rnacentral:rRNA from 1 species
UCCGUUUGAUCCUGGCAGAGGCCACUGCUAUCGGAGUUCGAUUAAGCCAUGCGAGUCGAGAGGUGUAAGACCUCGGCAUACUGCUCAGUAACACGUGGACAACCUACCCUGAAGAGGGGGAUAACCCCGGGAAACUGGGGAUAAUACCCCAUAGGCUAUGGAUGCUGGAAUGCUCUGUAGUUGAAAGGUCCGCCGCUUCAGGAUGGGUCUGCGGCCGAUUAGGUUGUUGUUGGGGUAACGGCCCAACAAGCCUGUAAUCGGUACGGGUUGUGGGAGCAAGAGCCCGGAGAUGGAUUCUGAGACACGAAUCCAGGCCCUACGGGGCGCAGCAGGCGCGAAAACUUUACAAUGCGAGCAAUCGUGAUAAGGGAACUCCGAGUGCCCGUAAAAUCGGGCUGUCCGCCAGUGUAAAUAACUGGUGAAGAAAGGGCCGGGCAAGACCGGUGCCAGCCGCCGCGGUAAUACCGGCGGCUCGAGUGGUGGCCACUAUUACUGGGCUUAAAGCGUUCGUAGCUGGUCUGUUAAGUCUCUGGGGAAAUCUUCCGGCUUAACCGGAAGGCGUCUCAGGGAUACUGGCAGACUAGGGACCGGAAGAGGUGAGAGGUACUCCAGGGGUAGGAGUGAAAUCCUGUAAUCCUUGGGGGACCACCUGUGGCGAAGGCGUCUCACCAGGACGGCUCCGACAGUGAGGAACGAAAGCUGGGGGAGCAAACCGGAUUAGAUACCCGGGUAGUCCCAGCUGUAAACGAUGCGCGUUAGGUGUAUCGGUGACCACGAGUCACCGAGGUGCCGAAGAGAAAUCGUGAAACGCGCCGCCUGGGAAGUACGGUCGCAAGGCUGAAACUUAAAGGAAUUGGCGGGGGAGCACCACAACGGGUGGAGCCUGCGGUUUAAUCGGACUCAACGCCGGGAAACUCACCGGACAAGACAGCUGAAUGAUAGUCGGGCUGAAGACUCUACUUGACUAGCUGAGAGGAGGUGCAUGGCCGUCGUCAGUUCGUACUGUGAAGCAUCCUGUUAAGUCAGGCAACGAGCGAGACCCA